CCCUUUAACCAAAGAAAGGUGAGAGCUCAGAAAUGCCCUAUAAUUAGCUGCCCAGAUCUUCACGAGCAAACCCCUUUAAUUAACACUCCCCAACUCCAAACCCGUCUUAUCAUAACAUGUAGAGUACCGAGCUCCCAACUCCAAUGGCAGCCCCCAGCAUAUCUGGGGUAUGCCCUAAUUUGUUUCCUCCGUGUCGUCUUCGUCGGGUUUUGGGUCCGUGUUGUUCGGCGAUGCGCUAAUUAUCUCGAAUAUGACCGAGGAGACCCGAAAUAGCCGUGACUUAUGCAAGUUCAAGUGAAAGGGCUGAGUAUGUGUGCGUAUAUGUGUCUUCUGCAUGUAUGUCUGUAUUUCGUUAUUUCGAUAUGCUUUCCUAUGUUUCUGUCAUGUUAUGUGCAAUAUGAAUAAAUUGGCUCUCAGCCUUUAUGAGGGAUGAUUGGUAGCCUUAUAAAAAUCCCCUCACAAAUCCAUUAAGAAAGGGUCAUGAUAUUUUUAGUUA